rnacentral:rRNA from 1 species
AACGAACGCUGGCGGCAGGCCUAACUCAUGCAAGUCGAACGGGAUCUUCGGAUCUAGUGGCGGACGGGUGAGUAACGCGUGGGAACGUGCCCUUUGGUUCGGAAUAGCCCUGGGAAACUGGGAGUAAUACCGGAUGAGCCCUUCGGGGGAAAGAUUUAUCGCCAAAGGAUCGGCCCGCGUUGGAUUAGGUAGUUGGUGGGGUAAUGGCCUACCAAGCCGACGAUCCAUAGCUGGUUUGAGAGGAUGAGCAGCCACACUGGGACUGAGACACGGCCCAGACUCCUACGGGAGGCAGCAGUGGGGAAUCUUAGACAAUGGGGGAAACCCUGAUCUAGCCAUGCCGCGUGAGCGAUGAAGGCCUUAGGGUUGUAAAGCUCUUUCGUGGGGGAAGAUAACGACUGUACCCCAAGAAGAAGCCCCGGCUAACUCCGUGCCAGCCGCCGCCGUAACAC